rnacentral:rRNA from 1 species
GACAGAGGGUGCAAACGUUGUUCGGAAUUACUGGGCGUAAAGCGCGUGUAGGCGGCUAUGUAAGUCGGGCGUGAAAUCCCACGGCUCAACCGAGGAAUGGCGCUUGAUACUGCACGGCUUGAGGGAGACAGGGGUAAGCGGAACUGAUGGUGGAGCGGUGAAAUGCGUUGAUAUCAUCAGGAACACCGGUGGCGAAAGCGGCUUACUGGGUCUCAUCUGACGCUGAGGAACGAAAGCUAGGGGAGCGAACGGG